rnacentral:rRNA from 1 species
GAGUAUCGCGUUUGUAACCUACCUCUGACUGGAGGAUAGAGCGAAGAAAUUCGGAUUAAUACUCCAUAAUACUAUGGACAGGCAUCUGUUCAUGGUUAAAGCCCCGGCGGUCAGAGAUGGGCAUGCGUGACAUUAGCUUGUUGGUGAGGUAACAGCUCACCAAUGCUACGAUGUCUAGGGGGUCUGAGAGGAUGGUCCCCCACACUGGUACUGAGACACGGACCAGACUCCUAGGGGAGGCAGCAGUGAGGAAUAUUGGUCAAUGGGCGAAAGCCUGAACCAGCCAUGCCGCGUGAAGGAUGACAGCCCUAUGGGUUGUAAACUUCUUUUGUACGGGAAGAAACGCUUCUACGUGUAGAGGUUUGACGGUACCGUACGAAUAAGCAUCGGCUAACUCCGUGCCAGCAGCCGCGGUAAUACGGAGGAUGCAAGCGUUAUCCGGAUUUAUUGGGUUUAAAGGGUACGUAGGCGGGAGCUUAAGUCAGUGGUGAAAUCCUGCAGCUUAACUGUAGAACUGUCAUUGAUACUGGGCUUCUUGAAUGUAGUUGAGGUAGGCGGAAUGUGUAAUGUAGCGGUGAAAUGCUUAGAUAUUACACAGAACACCGGAUUGCGAAGGCAGCUUACUAAACUACGAUUGACGCUGAGGUACGAAAGCGUGGGGAGCGAACAGGAUUAGAUA